AUUGAACGCUGGCGGCAUGCCUUACACAUGCAAGUCGAACGGUAACAGGUCUUCGGACGCUGACGAGUGGCGAACGGGUGAGUAAUGCAUCGGAACGUGCCCAGUCGUGGGGGAUAACUGCUCGAAAGAGCAGCUAAUACCGCAUACGACCUGAGGGUGAAAGCGGGGGACCGUAAGGCCUCGCGCGAUUGGAGCGGCCGAUGUCAGAUUAGCUAGUUGGUGGGGUAAAGGCCUACCAAGGCAACGAUCUGUAGUUGGUCUGAGAGGACGACCAGCCACACUGGGACUGAGACACGGCCCAGACUCCUACGGGAGGCAGCAGUGGGGAAUUUUGGACAAUGGGCGCAAGCCUGAUCCAGCAAUGCCGCGUGCAGGAAGAAGGCCUUCGGGUUGUAAACUGCUUUUGUCAGGGAAGAAAUCAUCUGGGCUAAUACCCCGGGAGGAUGACGGUACCUGAAGAAUAAGCACCGGCUAACUACGUG
rnacentral:rRNA from 1 species